UACGUAGGGGGCGAGCGUUGUCCGGAUUUAUUGGGCGUAAAGAGCGUGUAGGCGGCCAGGUAGGUCUGCUGUGAAAACUGGAGGCUCAACCUCCAGACGUCGACGGAAACCGUAUGGCUAGAGUCCGGAAGAGGAGAGUGGAAUUCCUGGUGUAGCGGUGAAAUGCGCAGAUAUCAGGAGGAACACCAGCGGCGAAGGCGGCGCUCUGGGCCGGUACUGACACUGAGGAGCGAAAGCGUGGGUAGCAAACAGG
rnacentral:rRNA from 1 species